rnacentral:lncRNA from 1 species
UCUGUGGAAUGAAUCCAGCAUACUGUAUCCUAGCCUCUUUAUCUCAUUUUUGGCUGGCUCCAAGUAUGACCAGUGAGCAGUGAGAAGAAAGUUUGCUGAGAUAACCAAGGCUUAAGCCAAGAAGAUAACCUUUGAGCCAAGAUUUGAAGGCACUGUGGGCGUAAGCCAUGGAGAAGAGACUUCCAGGCAGAGGGGCUGGCCCGGGCAAAGCCCUGGUGACAAGAGUGUGCCUGAUGUGUUCCAGGAACACCAAGAUGAACAGUGGAACUUGAGAAGCGUGAUCGAGAGGACAAGUAGAAUAGGAUGAGGCUUGAGCCAACAGAAGGCAGUGGCCAAAUACAAGUAGUUGAAAGGACUUUGGCAUUUACUUUGAAAGAAAUGGAAAACCACUGAAGGGGUUUGGAGCAGAAAGGUGACAUGAUUUGACCUGCAUUAUAAAAGAGUGUCACUCUGACUGCUGAAUUGUAUGUGGGCAAGGGUGGAAUCAGGAGAACGAGAGCAAGUUGGUUGGUUUUUGCAACAAUGGUGACAUGCAAAGGUGGUUGCUAUCAGGGAGGUGGUGAGUAGCAGUUGAAUUCUGCAUGUGUUUUAAGCAACAAGAUUUCCUGACAGACUGAGAGUGGAAUAUGAAAAAGGAAGGAGUCAAGCAAGACUUCAUGGCUUGUGGUUCACUUAUUUUUACUUUAAGAUAUAUCAGGAAGUGUGUUCAAAUUCAUUUCUUCACUAUUAGGUCAAACCCAAAGUUCUUAAUUAAGGCAAUCUCACAUGUUUAAAAAUAUUAUUCAUGGUAAUAAUAAUAAUACUCAAAACCUAUUAAACAUCAGGCUCUUUAAUCCAGCAAUCUCAUGAGGCAGGUAUUAUUUUUCUCAAUUUACAUAUGAGUAAACAAAAUCGUGAGAAAUAACUGGCAGCUCCCCUAAUUUUUGUCCCUGCUUCCAACAUAGGAUCAACUAGAGAAAGUCAAAUAUGCACCCCCUAAUCAAUCACCUGGGAUGUCCCAAUCAGGGCUUAUCCAACCUUGCCUUUUUCCCACUCUAAAGCUUUCCCACUCCUCUGCCUGCCUUUGAGUCUCUGCCAAAAUGCAACUGAUGGACUCCUUUGUUAUUGCAAGCUCUGAA